UACAGAGGGUGCAAGCGUUGUCCGGAUUUACUGGGCGUAAAGCGUUUCGUAGGUGGCUUUAAAAGUUAUCUUUCAAAGUCCGAGGCUUAACCUCGGGAAGGGAGGUAAUACUGUAAGGCUGGAAAGUUAUCGGGGUUUUCGGAACUUGCGGUGUAGGGGUGAAAUCCGUUGAUAUCGCAAGGAACACCAAGGGCGAAGGCAGAAAACUAGGUAAUCUUUGACACUGAGGAACGACAGCUAGGGGAGCGAAGGAUGG
rnacentral:rRNA from 1 species